AACAAUAUUAGGCUGCUUACAGAUGUGGAGAAAAAAACAACAGUGCUUUACUUUCAGUUUGGCACAUCCCUGCACCAAGUGCAACGCAUGCUCAGAAGAGGAAUUGUGUCGGUUUGACCCAGCUCACCCAGCAUCUGUAUAGCUUACACACUUCAGUGGAGCUUUUUGGCACUUCUAUCUAAUAAAUGAUUGAAUCAGCUAUUAGAUAAAAAGUGUCAAAAAUCCCCUCUGAAGCACAUGAA